UUUGCUUGAAUUUUACAAUUCUUGCAGUUAUUUUAUGGUUAUUCUAAAGGUUUUUACCUUUUGGUUUUGAAUAUGCCUUUGGGUUCUUUGGAAGAGGAUUGGUUUCUUUCUUAUCUUAAAGCAGCAUUCCCCAAGAUUUACAACACACUUUUUGACAUUGAAAACAAUUUUAUUGAAUAACUUGUAUCACAGGACCCAGAAAUGGGAAUGAAUUGAAACUUAACGCACUUGUUUACAGUGAUGAAAUACCAUCCAUUGCACAGAAUCCAUAUUUCUAGUUUGCAUUCUUCCAAGAUUAGGCCCCUUUCUUGACUUCUAUGCCUUUUUGGUGACAAGGCAGUUGAAUAAUGGAGGGUUGCUGUCCUUUGACAGCUCUUGUUUUUUCUCAAAUACUGUUAAAUCAUGUAAUAUUGGGUAUGAUAUUUCACAGUUUUGACCAAAACAGCUAUUUCAUGGGGAUAAAGUCUGAAUUGUGAACAUAAAAUGAAUAGAAGCGUUAUUGGGGAUUUCAACUCGAGGCUAGACACAACCAUAGAAUCAACAAAAAUAAGUCACCCAUGAAUAUAAUUUCACAGUUUCUUCUUUAUCUAUGUGUGGGGGAUGUUACCUAUGUAUGGGGGAUGCUGCUUUUACAGAUUGGCAUUUAUUAUGAAAGUGUGAAAAUGGAAGGUAAAAUAGGUUUUCUUAGUUGUAGAUAAGAGACAUUGGAGUUUUUUGUUUUGAAACAGUUGAUACAAAAAACCAGCACCAGCCUUAGAAAUACUUAAAUUGAUUGAAAAAUGAGGGCCAAUGUUCCAUCUUAAACAUUUUUUUACUUCAGUAAUGCGUAUAAAUUUUCGCUUAAAGGUAUACAUGUUAAAGUGGCUUUGAUUUUGGAUUUUUUUUUUGUUUUUUUGGGGAAGUUGGUCGCAUAUAUUUCAUCUAAAACAGAAAAGUUUUCUGUUUUAUUUUUAGUGCUCGGGAGCUUCAAGCUGGGGCCAGGGCCAAAAACCAUUAGUUUGGGGGGUAA
rnacentral:lncRNA from 1 species